UACGUAGGGUGCAAGCGUUGUCCGGAAUUAUUGGGCGUAAAGAGCUCGUAGGCGGUCUGUCGCGUCUGCUGUGAAACCUGAGGGCUUAACUCUGGGCGUGCAGUGGGUACGGGCAGGCUAGAGUGCGGGUAGGGGAGACUGGAAUUCCUGGUGUAGCGGUGGAAUGCGCAGAUAUCAGGAGGAACACCGAUGGCGAAGGCAGGUCGUCUGGGCCAUUACUGACACU
rnacentral:rRNA from 1 species